GACGAACGCUGACGGCGUGCUUAACACAUGCAAGUCGAACGGAAAGGCCCUGCUUUUGUGGGGUGCUCGAGUGGCGAACGGGUGAGUAACACGUGAGUAACCUGCCCUUGACUUUGGGAUAACUUCAGGAAACUGGGGCUAAUACCGGAUAGGAGCUCCUGCUGCAUGGUGGGGGUUGGAAAGUUUCGGCGGUUGGGGAUGGACUCGCGGCUUAUCAGCUUGUUGGUGGGGUAGUGGCUUACCAAGGCUUUGACGGGUAGCCGGCCUGAGAGGGUGACCGGCCACAUUGGGACUGAGAUACGGCACAGACUCCUACGGGAGGCAGCAGUGGGGAAUAUAGCACAAUGGGCGGAAGCCUGAUGCAGCAACGCCGCGUGCGGGAUGACGGCCUUCGGGUUGUAAACCGCUUUCGCCUGUGACGAAGCGUGAGUGACGGUAAUGGGUAAAGAAGCACCGGCUAACUACGUG
rnacentral:rRNA from 1 species